rnacentral:piRNA from 1 species
UCAUUUAUUUCUUCCCCUUUACGCCAAGUC